AAGAAGAAGGUGGAUUGUGGUUCCAAUGUGAGAGCAGGUAGAGCUAUGAACACAGGACCUAAUCAAUCAAUAUGCAAAAUUAUGCAAACAUACGUACAUAUUCCGCAAGUGUAAUACAUAUUAUCAGCAAAAAUGCUUGGGAGAAUUUGAGAAAGAUGUCUUGCUGGAAAUAACAGUAGGCAAACACCAGCACGUGACUAGAGAAUCUUUAAGCAAUUAAGGAACAGUCAUCUUAAACGAAGAGAGGACCCGAUAGACGUUCCUCAUCGCAAGAUCAAUAGAAUCAGAGAAUGACCUGUGGAGAGAUCCUAGCUAUGGCAAGAUUACGCCGAUAAAAACCCGCCAAACUAGGUAACAAGGAAUGAUGAAAGUUGCAACGUAGUCAAACACCACUAGACGAAUCCUACACAGAACUCCAUAGUUACGCCGCUAAAAAAAAUAUAGAUCUAACAAACUGACGAUGAGAAGAAAGGGACUAAACCAAGAUCCGAGCUAGCGGCGACCGAAACAGGACAACUCCCAUACUCUUGGAAAUGGUAUCAUGGGCUAAUCUAUCGAGGCGUAGGAAGUGGAGAUAACAAGGGAAAAUCAAACGAGAAGGAAGAAGAGCAGAUCGAUCUAAGAGGAACAGCAACAAUAACGAAGCGAAACGAUCAGAUCUGAGAUUACGGACGGAAGAUCAAGAUCUAACCUGAGAACAAAAA